UACAGAAGGCUAAAGAGCAGGAGGAUGCCCUAAGUGAGCAUAGGACAUUCGUAGAUAAAUUAGUUCAUUACAGCCUGUUAGUUUAUAGCUCUUGACUCUUCAGCACCUGAAAUCCAAAUUCUGGUGCAAUAGGACUUUGAUAGAGAAAUCCUUUUUUGUUUCCUUUGCACAGCAUUACUUCAUAGUAAGUGGAGACCAGAUGGGUAAGGUUAUUUUUUUAUUGGACCAAUUUCUGAUGGUGAAAGAGACGAGCUUUCAAGCUUACGCAGAGCUCUUAUUCAGGUCUGUAAGCAGAGGAUUUGCUAGGACAGAAAUUGCAAUUUGCACUUUGCAGUUUAUUGAAUCAAUCUGGGAUUUUCAUUCUUCAGUGUAUUCAAGGUUCCAUCAUGUCCAUGUUCUGUGAGCUCGUUCCACUCUGUUACAGACUCCCUCCCUCUUGUAUGAGCUUGGGUUAUAUAAGCACAGACACAUAUAACCACAUGGUUAACAAAAAUAGAACCUCCAAACAGCUGGAACCCUUUUAACAUUAAAGGCUUAGGGAUAUUUUGAGGCCUCUUUCUGUGUCAGGGUGUGGGUUCAUGGACUGAGUGCUGCUGCCCCUUUAAGGCCUGUUUGUGUGUAGGGGUGUGGGUGCAGGGACUGCCGUGAGACAGCAACAUUAUUUGAAUAUUUAUGAGCUGAUGAUCUGAAGGCGAGUGUGACAGAAAAAGACAAUCCCUGCUGCUCUUGGAGGCAAAAAUCACUUUACCAGGCAGCUCCUCUCUGCCCAUGACUCUGACUGGAAGCAUUGGAAACAGGCAAGAUAUUAAAGUAGAAGAUGCGAGGAAGGUAUUCAAGUCCACUGGAUGGAAGAUAGCGCAGGUACCUGAGAGGUUGCACAGACGCCACAGUGAAGAAUUUCAUGCCCUAUUAUCAGAGGCAACUUGCAACCACCUUUUUGAGACCGGUCUCAAAAGAGCUGGACCCGCAAGGCAAACCUGCUCUGCAGCUGCUGCAGAGCAAAAUGGAGCCAAUAAACCAUGACCUCUCCUCUGGUUAGACUGAACGACCUUCUCCAGAAGCCACCUGACGCUCUUCUGCAUGAGGGAUUCCUGAUGCAGUAUACUGGGGACACCUGCAAGUGGAAGAAGUUAUUUAAUUUUGCUGAGAAACUGUACCCUGGAGUGGUUUGAUAGUAAAGAGGCCCAGGGGAGAGGAUAUAAGCCCAGAGGACCCACCACUCUGUCCGGAUACUUGCUGGUGACUUCACUGAGCGAAUAUACCAGGCUGAUUGACAGUGUCUGCCA